rnacentral:misc_RNA from 1 species
AAAUAUGUGACAGUCGCAAAGCUUCAGAGCAAGCUAGAUGGAGAGGCCAAUCCGACGAUUGUCCGCAAACUAAUUGAGAAAAUGACUCGAGAUGGUUACCUUGAGGCUAAAAGCAGCCGUAGGCUGGGCAAGCGCGUUAUUCAUUCAAGUCAAACUGAGAAAAAGCUUAUGGAAGUAAAGAAAGCCUUGGACAACGAUGUUAUGGAUGUUGAUAACAAUCAACAAAUUAUCAAGUCCAACCAUUUAGAAUUCCAGAAAAUAGGGAGUGACUAUAGGGAUAACUCAACAUGUGGUGUCCUCCAUUCGAUAGGAUCAGAUCUUACACGCAUGAGGGUUAUAUCCGACAUUAAUCAUAAUGGAUCAAUCAAGAGUGAGCAGACUAUCUCAAGGACAAAGGACCUUAGCAACACUCCCACAAGCAGAGCUGAGAAUGCACAGCCAGUAGCUUCAAGAGAGAGUUUCGCUCCAGGAAAUGAGAAUGGAAGAGCAAAUCGAACCACAAAUUACUGUGAUGAGGCAGACACAGUCAUCUGCAGCAGAUCGACUCAAGACAAAAGGACCCGGAAAACAAGCACGGUAAGCCCUCAAAUUUCUCACCAGCGAAUGAAGCAAUAUAUAGUUCAUCUUCAUCACCUUCAUUCAUAUCACAGAGCUGGAAAAUAUUACAUAGGCUUUGUCUUUAAUCCACUUGGGUGAGAGCUUUUCUUACCUUGGCAGGUUAAGGAGCCAAUUAUUCAAUUCAUGAAGCGCCAGAGAUCUCAAGCCGUUUGAGAGGCUUCUGGAGCUCAAAGUCAUUGAAUUUCUACAAUAGGAAUAGAAAGUAGUUUUUUCAUGAGGUCUUUCAGGAAGUAAACAUAGCAAUUUACAGUUUACAUGUCUCCAGAACUGCUAAUGUGAUAAUGGUAUAAUACUACAUGCAUAGAAAAGGAAAUUUGAUAUCAUUCUCCUUCUUAGAUCCAUUAAUGGAUUAUAUACGCAAUUUUGCCACCUCUAGUACUGCCUUGUUUUUGCUAUGUAGAUUUUCUUUUUGUUUUGUAUGGUAUCACGGGUCAAUUUCUUUGAUCUCUAAUCUUCA